rnacentral:tRNA from 1 species
UCCCUGACAGCUCAGUUGGUAAAGAAUCUGCCUGCAAUGCAGGAGACCCGGGUUCGAUCCCUGGGUUGGGAA